rnacentral:tRNA from 1 species
GCAGGGAUAGUGUAACGGCAACAUCACGGUCUCCAAAACCGUUAGUUUUAGAUACCCUACGGGAAGCCGCUCCGCGUCUACAAAUCCUAGUCCCUGCG